CCUACGGGUGGCAGCAGUGGGGAAUAUUGCGCAAUGGGCGAAAGCCUGACGCAGCGACGCCGCGUGAGGGAUGAAGGUCUUCGGAUCGGAAACCUCUGUCAGCAGGGAAGAACGGUCACUGUGCUAAUCAGCAGUGAAUUGACGGUACCUGCAAAGGACGCACCGGCUAACUCCGUGCCAGCAGCCUCGGGAAUACGGAGGGUGCGAGCGUUAAUCGGAAUUACUGGGCGUAAAGCGCUCGUAGGCGGUAUGUCAAGUCAAGGGUGAAAUCCCCGCGCUCAACGUGGGAACUGCCUUUGAAACUGGCAAACUGGAGUGUGUGAGAGGAUAGUGGAAUUCCAGGUGUAGGAGUGAAAUCCGUAGAUAUCUGGCGGAACAUCGGUGGCGAAGGCGACUAUCUGGCACAUAACUGACGCUGAGGAGCGAAAGCGUGGGUAGCAAACAGGAUUAGAUACCCUUGUAGUC
rnacentral:rRNA from 1 species